rnacentral:rRNA from 1 species
AAUGGGGGCAACCCUGAUCCAGCCAUGCCGCGUGAGUGAAGAAGGCCUUCGGGUUGUAAAGCUCUUUCGGACGGAAAGAAAUCGCGCAGGUAAAUAAUCUGCGUGGAUGACGGUACCGUAAGAAGAAGCACCGGCUAACUACGUGCCAGCAGCCGCGGUAAUACGUAGGGUGCGAGCAUUAUCCGGAAUCACUGGGUUUAAAGGGUGCGUAGGCGGUUUGAUAAGUCAGGGGUGAAAGGCCGUCGCUUAACGAUGGGACUGCCAUUGAUACUGUUAGACUUGAAUCAGGAUGAGGUUGGCGGAAUGUGGCAUGUAGCGGUGAAAUGCUUAGAUAUGCCAUGGAAUACCGAUUGCGAAGGCAGCUGACUGGACCUGAAUUGACGCUGAGGCACGAAAGCGUGGGGAGCGAA